UCGGCCUGCAGACUGAAAGGUCCCAGGUUUGAUUCUGGGCAUGUACCUUGGAUGCAGGUUCCCUGCCUUGGUUGGGGUGCAUCAGGCAACCAGUUGAUGUGUCUUUCUCACAUCGAUGUUUCUCUCUGUCUCUCCCUCUCCUUUCUA